GAUUCAGUAGCUCAGCUGGAUAGAGCAACGGCCUUCUAAGCCGUGGGUCGGGGGUUCGAAUCCCUUCUGGAUCACCA
rnacentral:tRNA from 1 species